rnacentral:rRNA from 1 species
AACGAACGCUGGCGGCAUGCCUAACACAUGCAAGUCGAGCGAGACCUUCGGGUCUAGUGGGGCACGGAUGCGUAAAGGGGGGGAAACUACCCUUGGGUUCGGAAUAACUCCCCGAAAGGGGUGCUAAUACCGGAUCAUGUCUUGGGACCAAAGAUUGAUCGCCAUUGGGGGGGCGCGCGUUGGAUUGGCUAGUUGGUAGGGUAAAAGCCUACCAAGGCGACGAGCCAUAGCUGGUCUGAGAGGAUGAUCCGCCACACUGGGACUGAGACACGGCCCAGACUCCUACGGGAGGCAGCAGUGGGGAAUAUUGGACAAUGGGCGAAAGCCUGAUCCAGCAAUGCCGCGUGAGUGAUGAAGGCCUUAGCGUUGUAAAGCUCUUUUACCCGGGAUGAUAAUGACAGUACCGGGAGAAUAAGCUCCGGCUAACUCCGUG